UACGAAGGGUGCAAGCGUUACUCGGAAUUACUGGGCGUAAAGCGUGCGUAGGUGGUUUGUUAAGUCUGUUGUGAAAGCCCCGGGCUCAACCUGGGAAUGGCAAUGGAUACUGGCAAGCUAGAGUGCGGUAGAGGGUAGUGGAAUUCCCGGUGUAGCGGUGAAAUGCGUAGAUAUCAGGAGGAAUACCGAUGGCGAAGGCAGGUCUCUGGGCUGACACUGACGCUCAUGCACGAA
rnacentral:rRNA from 1 species